AAGUACACUCUCCUUUCUUACUCUGUGCCAGCAAUAAAUUGCGUAAACUAAAGCCAACCAAAAUCAACAUACAAAUCAAAUUCAUAAUGUUCUCAUUUUAACACUCAUCCAGAACAUCAAAAGAUACAUAAGCAAACAAGAAAAUGGAAUGAAUAAUAUACCACCCCCAUUUAAUGUCUAAUUCCAAUUUUUAAUUAUCACCGUAACACAUGAAAAGCAAAAAAAAUCCAAAUUCCAGAUCUGACAAAUUUCAACCUAAGCAUAAUAGGAUAUAUAUCCAAAUGAAAAUUUAGCAAAAUCUAAACCACAUAUCACAGCAAAAUUAAAUUCAAGCAAACCUUAAGAAAACAACAUAUAAUCCAAAACUUCAAAAAAAAUACUACCUAGAAGGGGAUUUGAUCAUGAGUGAAUGGUACAAUGGAAAGUGGUUUGACCGGAUUCUCGCAGUGGAGGCCA
rnacentral:lncRNA from 1 species